AAUCAACGCUGGCGGCGUGCCUCAGACAUGCAAGUCGAACGCGAAAGUUUCCUUCGGGGGAGCGAGUAGAGUGGCGCACGGGUGAGUAACACGUAGGUAAUCUACCUUCGGAUGGGGAAUAACAAUCGGAAACGGCUGCUAAUACCGCAUAAUGCAGCGGCACCUAAUGGUGACAGUUGUUAAAGCGGGGGAUCGUAAGACCUCGCGUCUGAAGAGGAGCCUGCGGCGGAUAGCUUGUUGGUAAGGUAAUGGCUUACCAAGGCGACGAUCCGUAACCGGCCUGAGAGGGCGGUCGGUCACACUGACACUGACAUACGGGUCAGACUCCUACGGGAGGCAGCAGUCGGGAAUUUUGGGCAAUGGGCGAAAGCCUGACCAGCAACGCCGCGUGAAGGAUGAAAUCCCUCGGGAUGUAAACUUCGCAAG
rnacentral:rRNA from 1 species